rnacentral:rRNA from 1 species
UACGGGGGGGGGCAAGCGUUGUCCGGAAUUAUUGGGCGUAAAGGGCUCGUAGGCGGUUUGUCACGUCAGGAGUGAAAACUCGGGGCUUAACCCCGAGCCUGCUUCUGAUACGGGCAGACUAGAGGUAUGCAGGGGAGAACGGAAUUCCUGGUGUAGCGGUGAAAUGCGCAGAUAUCAGGAGGAACACCGGUGGCGAAGGCGGUUCUCUGGGCAUUACCUGACGCUGAGGAGCGAAAGUGUGGGGAGCGAACAGG